AUCCAUCCCCCCUAACCGCCAUUAUUUCCUCCUUCCCAUCAUCCGUCCCCCCUAACCGCCAUUAUUCCCCCCUUCCCCAUCAUCUAUCCCCCCUAACCGCCAUGAUCCCCCCUUCCCCCUCAUCUAUCCCCCUAACCGCCAUUAUUCCCCCCUUCCCCAUCAUCUAUCCCCCCUAACCGCCAUUAUUUCCUCCUUCCCAUCAUCUAUCCCCCUAACCGCCAUUAUUCCCCCCUUCCCCAUCAUCUAUGCCCCCUAACCGCCAUUAUCCCCCCCUUCCCCAUCAUCGAUCCCUUUAACCGCCAUUAUCCCCCCUUCCUUAUUAUCUGCCCCCUUCAACCGCCAUUAUCCCCCCCCUUCCCCACCAUCUCUCCCCUCUUGACCACCAUUAUCCCUCCUUCCCCAUCAUCUGUCCCCUUCAACCGCCAUUAUCCCCCCUUUCCCCGUCAUCCGCUUUCCCUUUAAACCGCUUUCCUCCCCCGUCACCGCCGUCUUCUCGCCCACCAAAACCGGAACAAACCUUCGGCCAGCAGCUCUUGGACGGCCGCGCGCCGAGAUGAGCCCCGCUAAGCUUCAUAGCCGCGCAUCUAUUGAAGAUAAAGCCGCGUUUCAGCCGCCGCCGCCGCUACCUUCUCCUUCUUCCUCCCCGGCCGCCGCCAUCGCUCCCUCACACCGAGGGGCACCGCUGAUUGGCCGCCGGUCGCUAGGCGGGAAGGCGUCCCCCCAGCUGCGCGCUGUAGCUAAGGCAGAGGCGGCCAGGGAUUGAACGACGCUGUCCCACCGCCUCCAUGUCCCGCCCUCGCUGUGAGGCGAGCAGCGCAGUGAUUGGCUGGGAGGCGGGAGUGGGCGAGGUUAUAAAAGGGGCGGUGUAGGGCGGGAGGUAUUUUUCCGGCGGCGGCGUCAGGGGUGGAGUCAGCGGCGGAAGGGGCAGUAGCAGUGGCGGCAGUCUCGGCAGCAGGAGCGGCGGCGGGCGAGCUUUACGCCUGUUGUAUUUAACUGCAGUCCAGUUUAAUGGAGCUGGAGCGACUGCACCGGGCCCGGCCCACGCCCCAGGAUGGACCUGAGUCCCCCCGCGAAGCUUUACGCCUGUUGUAUUUAACUGCAGUCCAGUUUAAUGGAGCUGGAGCGACUGCACCGGGCCCGGCCCACGCCCCAGGAUGGACCUGAGUCCCCCCCGUGAAGGUAUCCCUUGGUGACCCAGAGCAACCCAUGGACACCUCCUAGAGCCCCGCAGAGCACAGUAGAUCCCCUAUAGAGCCACUCAGCCUCAUAGCCUCCCUGUAGACAUCCCAUAGGGUCCCAGGGCGACCCGUAGACAUCCCAGAGCAACUCUUAGCAACCCGUGGACACCCCAUAGUUACGUACAGACACCCAUCAACAUCACAUAGUGACCCAUAGACAGUCCCCAGCCAUCCACAGCACCCCAUAGAGACCCACAGCAACUCCUAGAUACCCUAUACACCCCCACACGGCCCCAUGACGACCCACAGAGCCACAUAGACACCCUCCACUGCCACACAGCGCCCCACCCUAUAGUUCCCGAUAGACGCACAACACGCACCCCACGGCUUUUAUUGACUUAGGGUGUCGUGAUGCCACCAGGACUGCGAUGACAGCAGCAGCAGCAGCAUCGUCAAGCAGCACGGCACCACGUAGAGCCCCCAAUUACCCCGUCGCGCCCCAUAAGUACCCCCACACCAAUCGUUUUUUUAUUUGCUUUCAUUCAUUUUUAUGAACUUUUAUUCGAGAUUCAUUCAGGCUUGUUCACUUUUAUUCCUUUUUAUUUGCUUUGUAAUAAUUUGUAAUCACAUUAUUCACUUUUGCUUUUUAUUAUCUUUA